UUAUGAAUCAAGAAGACAGAAAAAAAAUCAUUCAAUCAUUCGCUGGUUGGUUGGCAGGCCAACUUUUCCGAGUAGAAAGUUUGCUCAAAGUGCAAUUUGGUGGUGAAAAGUGCAUCCAAAACCAGAAAAGUAGCAGCAAUUCGGUAAACGGUGUGGAUUCUUUUCGCCCGUGGUUACCAAUAUGAGCUAUCAAAUGCCGCAAAAUCGAACAAUGUCCCACAACCCCUACAAUUCAUCGGAUAUGCCGAUGCCCUCGGCGAAGGAGCAAACGCUGAUGUGGCAACAGAACUCGUACUUGGGUGAUUCCGGCAUCCAUUCGGGUGCGGUCACGCAGGUGCCAUCGCUCAGUGGCAAAGAUGACGACAUGGAAGACGACCCGCUGAUGUUCGACAUGGAUCAAGGUUUCUCGCAGAACUUCACCCAAGAUCAGGUGGACGACAUGAAUCAGCAGCUCAGCCAGACACGUUCCCAGCGUGUUCGAGCCGCCAUGUUCCCGGAAACCCUCGAAGAGGGUAUCGAAAUUCCGUCAACACAAUUCGACCCACAACAACCGACAGCGGUACAGCGAUUGUCCGAACCGUCGCAGAUGCUUAAGCAUGCCGUUGUCAACUUGAUUAACUAUCAGGACGAUGCUGAUCUGGCUACUCGAGCUAUUCCAGAGUUGAUCAAGCUCUUGAACGAUGAAGAUCAGGUUGUGGUUUCCCAGGCUGCCAUGAUGGUGCACCAGUUGUCAAAGAAGGAAGCUUCACGUCACGCUAUUAUGAACAGCCCACAGAUGGUCGCAGCUUUGGUUCGUGCUUUGUCCCAGAGCAAUGAUCUAGAGACCACUAAAGGAGCUGUAGGGACGUUGCACAAUUUGUCGCACCAUCGGCAAGGUUUGCUAGCAAUUUUCAAAUCUGGUGGAAUCCCAGCACUCGUUAAGCUGCUAUCGUCGCCGGUUGAAUCUGUGCUGUUCUAUGCAAUCACAACGCUUCACAAUUUACUGCUCCAUCAAGAUGGCAGCAAAAUGGCAGUCCGUUUGGCUGGUGGCUUACAGAAAAUGGUAGCUUUGUUGCAGCGCAACAAUGUUAAAUUCCUGGCUAUUGUUACGGAUUGUCUGCAGAUUCUUGCCUACGGAAAUCAAGAAAGCAAACUUAUUAUCCUUGCUUCCACUGGACCAAGUGAAUUGGUUCGCAUUAUGCGCUCAUAUGACUAUGAGAAGCUUCUUUGGACGACCUCCCGUGUGCUGAAGGUCUUGUCCGUUUGUUCGAGCAACAAGCCAGCCAUCGUUGAGGCUGGUGGCAUGCAAGCCUUGGCCAUGCAUUUAGGAAAUCCAUCACAGCGUCUCGUUCAGAACUGCCUCUGGACGUUGCGUAACCUUUCCGAUGCCGCCACAAAGGUUGACGGUUUAGAAACGCUUCUCUCUGGCUUGGUCACAGUUUUGGGCUCGUCGGAUGUGAACGUUGUCACUUGUGCUGCCGGCAUCCUGUCCAAUCUGACGUGCAACAACCAACGCAAUAAGGUCACGGUAUGUCAAGUUGGCGGCGUUGAGGCUCUGGUCGGUACCAUCAUCAAUGCGGGCGAUCGCGAAGAAAUUACGGAGCCAGCCGUUUGCGCUCUGCGUCACCUAACUUCGCGCCAUCCGGAGUCCGAAUCGGCGCAGAACAUCGUUCGCAAUGGCUACGGAUUGCCAGUGAUUGUGAAGCUACUUAAUCCACCGUCCCGUUGGCCACUGAUCAAGGCCGUCAUCGGACUGAUUCGUAAUCUGGCGCUCUGCCCAUCCAAUGCAGCACCAUUGCGGGAACAUGGUGCGAUUCAUCUUCUGGUGCGGUUGCUGUUUAAGGCGUUCCAGGAUACGCAAAGGCAACGUUCAUCGGUAGCCACCAACGGGUCGCAGCCACCGGGUGCCUACGCCGACGGGGUGCGUAUGGAGGAGAUCGUUGAAGGCACUGUUGGUGCGUUACACAUCCUCUCGAAGGAGGAACUGAACCGGCAGCUUAUCCGCCAGCAGAACGUGAUUUCGAUCUUCGUCCAGCUGCUCUUCUACAACGACAUCGAAAACAUUCAGCGCGUUGCUGCCGGUGUCCUGUGCGAGCUGGCCGUCGACAAGGAAGUGGCCGAGAUGAUCGAAGCCGAGGGUGCCACCGCACCGCUGACUGAACUGCUCAAUUCCGCUAAUGAGGGUGUUGCCACCUAUGCGGCCGCCGUCCUGUUCAAGAUGAGCGAGGACAAAUCGAUGGACUACAAGAAGCGUUUCUCCAGCGAACUGACCACCCUGCCGGUGUUCCGCGACGAUACGAUGUGGAACAACGGCGAGCUCGGGAUAGGGCCGGAUUUGCAGCUAAACCAGCCUAACAUAUAUCAUCACUGAAGAAGCAAAAAUCUAACAAGAAAUAAUACUAAAGAAUUGCGUUGCAAUACUACUUUUAUUUGCCUACUUAGUCCUAUUAACAUCUCAAUUUUGUUUAUUUAUUGUAUCAAAAUUUCUAAUAAACCAUAAUUUCCUUUUCUGUUAAUUUAACCCUAUGUAGCCUUCAGUUCCUUUUCCUGACAUAUGAAGCUUAUGUUUGUUACCAUUGGAAAAACUAGCUGAUUAGUAUCAAAAAUCUACUAGCUCAUUCUUUCGUUUCCUAGCUGGAUAGUGCCAAAUUGUGCUGAAAUGAUACUCACAAGUUUUAUAACAGCACUUAAAGGGCAUUAUUGUGGGCUAGUUUUGGUUUAGCAAUCAGUAUUCUUCCCCUAUUUUGUUCUCACAGCCUUUUCUUGAUAUUACUGUAUGUUAGUAUCAGUAGAAACAGUGGUAGGAAAAACAACCUAACGGUAAUUCAUAAUUAAAGGCAACAUGGUGUAAAACAAAUCUCGAAAUAAAGCAAGUUGUUUGUUAAUGAAAACAGAAAUAUGUAAGAUGUCGACGCAUACAGUAGAUUCAUUUUUUGAAAUAUCGACAUAAAACGAACACACCUCACUGGGUGUAACGAAAUUAGAGGAAUGCGUUUCAAACACAGGAAGAAAAUCUCUGCAGCGGCAAUCGUGUAGCAGCGCUCAACGUCCAAACAAUGCUGAGGGCAGUAGUAAACAUCGCACGUCACAAUAUCUGCGUUCUUCAAUUACCGGAGCACGUUUGUGAGCGAAUAUGUGUGUAUGCGGAAUCGGUCUUCUUUCAAAACUUACCAUAGGAUAUGACACACUGCCGAUAGACUCGAUGCAGGGCCUGGAGAUCGGCGGAGGCGGUAACGCCGGUCCGGCUGGCAGCAACCCGAACGCGGGCAACAAUCCAGGUGCCGGUGGGCCCCCAUCCGGCCAGCCAACGUCGCCCUACGCGAUGGACAUGGACGUCGGCGAGAUGGACGCCAGCGAACUGACGUUCGAUCACCUGGAUGUUAUGCCAUCGCCACCGCAGGAUAACAACCAGGUGGCCGCCUGGUACGAUACCGAUUUGUAAACGGUUUUCGAAUCGAUUUUUUUACAAUUUUCCCUACGUAGCGUAUUAUUUUUGUCUCUUAUCAUACACACACACAUUUUAUUCGUAACACGAUGUGCUUCCAACACAUAUUGAGAGGAUUUCUCAACGAGAGAGAGUGCAGCUUCUAACACAUUUGUCAGAUUUUUGUCCAUCUCUUACCCUGAUUGUGAUACAAAAUAUUCGAUUCUCUCCUCCUUUAUUCUAAAGCAGCUUGUAUCGUGUCAAUGUAUGUUGGAAGCUUGCUCUUAAAUCUACUUUUAAACUUAUUAAAUUUUAUGUAUUUUUACAUAAUAAAGCUAUUGAAAUCAAACUAAUGUCUAAAAUAAAUUAGGUAACUAAUUAUCAGUUUAGAACUACUUCAGAAUUUUUAUUAUAUUCAUAUAUUUAUACAUGAACUUGAACUAUGACAGCAGCUUCUCAUAUAUUUUUUUAAAAACUUUGGUGUUUACUACUGCAAUUAAUGAGUUGAAGCACUGGCUUGCCAGUCGCUCCAACGGAGCAGCAACGAUUAGACAAAUUUGAGCAAUCGAGUCAAUCGAACGAUUAAAAACGCAAUGAAACAAAAUUUUGAUGAGUACACAAUUCAGUAUUGGCGAUAAAGAAGAGAAAAACCUGAAAGCAAAAUGAAAGAGGUCUACAUAAUACAGAAAAAAUAGUAUAAAUGUUAUCAUGCAGCUAAGGGAAAACUAUGAUCAAUUUGUAUCAGAAACAAAUCGAGUAACGCCGCAAUCUGUGCGAUUGUUUAGAAAUAAAACGGAAACUGAUGCGUAGUAGAAACGUUAAACACACAAUACAAUUCCAUAACGACGAUAAAUUUUCAACAUUGAUUACAAAGGAGUAGCGAAACGACCCAGCCUUGUUUUUCUCUACGUAUAAUGGUUUUAAUUUAAAUUUCUAUGAUAGCAAUAGUAUGAAACAAAAUUUUGUUCUUUCCUUGUACCCGACGCAAACGCGAUCCUAGACUCAAAAACAAGAGACAAACGAGAGAGCACUGUAAUGCAUCACGCAUCAAUGAUGAACUAUUACGAUUUUUGAAAAUUGAUUCUAUAUUGAAAUUAUUAUACAUUAUGAUUAAAAAGUGAAACGAACCUUCCUUUCAGUAUAUAAGAGAACGUGAGGAGAAAAAUAUAUUAAAUGCUAUACAACAA